rnacentral:tRNA from 1 species
GGCCCGUUGGUCAAGUGGUUAAGACAUCGCCCUUUCACGGCGGUAUCACGGGUUCGAAUCCCGUACGGGUCACCA